CGAUGAUACGCGAGGAACCUUACCUGGGCUCAAAUGUAUGUUGACGUAUUCUGAAAGGGAUACUUCUUCGGACAAUAUACAAGGUGCUGCAUGGUUGUCGUCAGCUCGUGCCGUGAGGUGUCGGGUUAAGUCCCAUAACGAGCGCAACCCCUAUCAUUAGUUGCCAUCAGGUCAAGCUGGGGACUCUAAUGAAACUGCCUACGCAAGUAGUGAGGAAGGUGGGGAUGACGUCAAAUCAGCACGGCCCUUACGUCCAGGGCUACACACGUGCUACAAUGGCCGAUACAGAGGGCAGCUACCUGGUGACAGGAUGCAAAUCUCCAAAGUCGGUCUCAGUUCGGAUCGGAGUCUGCAACCCGACUCCGUGAAGUUGGAUUCGCUAGUAAUCGCGCAUCAGCCAUGGCGCGGUGAAUACGUUCCCGGGCCUU
rnacentral:rRNA from 1 species